rnacentral:piRNA from 1 species
UNGUAGCUGUGUGACCCUGAGCAAGUCGC